ACGUAGGGUGCAAGCGUUGUCCGGAAUUACUGGGUGUAAAGGGAGCGCAGGCGGGAAGACAAGUUGGAAGUGAAAACCAUGGGCUCAACCCAUGAAUUGCUUUCAAAACUGUUUUUCUUGAGUAGUGCAGAGGUAGAUGGAAUUCCCGGUGUAGCGGUGGAAUGCGUAGAUAUCGGGAGGAACACCAGUGGCGAAGGCGGUCUACUGGGCACCAACUGACGCUGAGGCUCGAAAGCAUGGGUAGCAAACAGGAUUAGAAACCCGAGU
rnacentral:rRNA from 1 species